ACGUAGGGGGCAAGCGUUAUCCGGAUUUACUGGGUGUAAAGGGAGCGCAGACGGCGAUGCAAGUCUGGAGUGAAAGCCCGGGGCUCAACCCCGGGACUGCUUUGGAAACUGUAUGGCUAGAGUGCUGGAGAGGCAAGCGGAAUUCCUAGUGUAGCGGUGAAAUGCGUAGAUAUUAGGAAGAACACCAGUGGCGAAGGCGGCUUGCUGGACAGUAACUGACGUUCAGGCUCGAAAGCGUGGGGAGCAAACAG
rnacentral:rRNA from 1 species